AAACGAUCUGGUGUCUGCGGAAGCUCG
rnacentral:sRNA from 1 species